UACGUAGGGUGCAAGCGUUGUCCGGAAUUAUUGGGCGUAAAGAGCUCGUAGGCGGUUUGUUGCGUCGGCUGUGAAAUCCCGAGGCUCAACCUCGGGUCUGCAGUCGAUACGAGCAAACUAGAGUGUUGCAGGGGAGACUGGAAUUCCUGGUGUAGCGGUGAAAUGCGCAGAUAUCAGGAAGAACACCGAUGGCGAAGGCAGAUCUCUGGGCCGUAACUGACGCUGAGGAGCGAAAGCAUGGGGAGCGAACAGG
rnacentral:rRNA from 1 species